UAUUGGAUUUAGGUUUGGUAUAGGA
rnacentral:misc_RNA from 1 species